CCUACGGUGCGCAGCAGUGGGGAAUAUUGCACAAUGGGGGAAACCCUGAUGCAGCGACGCCGCGUGAGUGAAGAAGUAAUUCGUUACGUAAAGCUCUAUCAGCAGGGAAGAAAUACUGACCUUACGGUCAGCAGACGGUACCUGAGUAAGAAGCCCCGGCUCACUACGUGUCAGCAGCCGCGGUAAUAUGUCGGGGGCAAGCGUUAUCCGGAUUGACUGGGUGUAAAGGGAGCGUAGACGGUGCGCCAAGUCUGGAGUGAAAUGCCGCAGCUUAACUGCGGAACUGCUUUGGAAACUGGCGAACUAGAGGGCGGGAGGGGUAAGCGGAAGUACUAGUGUAGCGGUGAAAUGCGUAGAUAUUAGGAGGAACACCGGUGGCGAAGGCGGCUUACUGGACCGUAACUGACGUUGAGGCUCGAAAGCGUGGGGAGCAAACAGGAUUAGAUACCCUUGUAGUC
rnacentral:rRNA from 1 species